rnacentral:rRNA from 1 species
UACGAAGGGGGCUAGCGUUGCUCGGAAUCACUGGGCGUAAAGGGUGCGUAGGCGGGUCUUUUAAGUCAGGGGUGAAAUCCUGGAGCUCAACUCCAGAACUGCCUUUGAUACUGAAGAUCUUGAGUUCGGGAGAGGUGAGUGGAACUGGCGAGUGUAGAGGUGAAAUUCGUAGAUAUUCGCAAGAACACCAGUGGCGAAGGCGGCUCACUGGUCCAUUACUGACGCUGAGGUGCGAAAGC